rnacentral:tRNA from 1 species
AAGCUUAUAGCUCAGUUGGUUAGAGCAUACGCCUGAUAAGCGUAAGGUCGGCAGUUCAAGUCUGUUUGAGCUUA